GAUGAACGCUGGCGGCGUGCCUAAUACAUGCAAGUCGAGCGAACAGACGAGGAGCUUGCUCCUCUGACGUUAGCGGCGGACGGGUGAGUAACACGUGGAUAACCUACCUAUAAGACUGGGAUAACUUCGGGAAACCGGAGCUAAUACCGGAUAAUAUAUUGAACCGCAUGGUUCAAUAGUGAAAGACGGUUUUGCUGUCACUUAUAGAUGGAUCCGCGCCGCAUUAGCUAGUUGGUAAGGUAACGGCUUACCAAGGCAACGAUGCGUAGCCGACCUGAGAGGGUGAUCGGCAACACUGGAACUGAAACACGGUCCAGACUCCUACGGGCGGCAGCAGUAGGGAAUCUUCCGCAAUGGGCGAAAGCCUGAAGGAGCAACGCCGCGUGAGUGAUGAAGGUCUUCGGAUCGUAAAACUCUGUUAUUAGGAAAGAACAAAUGUGUAAGUAACUAUGCGCGUCUUGACGGUACCUAAUCAGAAAGCCACGGCUAACUACGUG
rnacentral:rRNA from 1 species